GGCAACUUGGCCGAGUGGUCUAAGGCGACGCACUCAAGGUUUUCCUAAACCUUCCUCUCCACUCAGAGGAGGAGCAUUGCGUUCUCGCAAGAGGCGUGAGUUCGAAUCUCACAGUUGUCA